rnacentral:rRNA from 1 species
GUUCAGGUGGAGUCGUCGUUGAAAUACCACUCUGGUCGUGCUGGAUGUCUAACCUGGGUCCGUGAUCCGGAUCAGGGACAGUGUCUGAUGGGUAGUUUAACUGGGGCGGUUGCCUCCUAAAGAGUAACGGAGGCGCCCAAAGGUUCCCUCAGCCUGGUUGGCAAUCAGGUGUUGAGUGUAAGUGCACAAGGGAGCUUGACUGUGAGACCGACGGGUCGAGCAGGGACGAAAGUCGGGACUAGUGAUCCGGCGGUGGCUUGUGGAAGCGCCGUCGCUCAACGGAUAAAAGGUACCCCGGGGAUAACAGGCUGAUCUUCCCCAAGAGUCCAUAUCGACGGGAUGGUUUGGCACCUCGAUGUCGGCUCGUCGCAUCCUGGGGCUGGAGUCGGUCCCAAGGGUUGGGCUGUUCGCCCAUUAAAGCGGUACGCGAGCUGGGUUUAGAACGUCGUGAGACAGUUCGGUCCCUAUCCGCUGUGCGCGUAGGAGUCUUGAGAAGGGCUGUCCCUAGUACGAGAGGACCGGGACGGACGAACCUCUGGUGUGCCAGUUGUUCUGCCAAGGGCAUGGCUGGUUGGCUACGUUCGGGAGGGAUAACCGCUGAAAGCAUCUAAGCGGGAAGCCUGCUUCGAGAUGAGGACUCCCACCCACUUGAUGGGGUAAGGCUCCCAGUAGACGACUGGGUUGAUAGGCCGGAUCUGGAAGCACAGUAAUGUGUGGAGGUGACCGGUACUAAUAGGCCGAGGGCUUGUCCUCAGUUG